rnacentral:rRNA from 1 species
CCUUACCAUCCUACGGCUGACUGGCACUUGGAGAAGUGGCAAGUCUUCCAGUAUGGGGAGCAAAACAGCUAUGGGUCAAGUCCGAUAUCUUUAGGAGAAGUCUUAUUGUGAGGGCGAGUUUUAUAACACCAUAGGACUGGCCGUCCCAUAUGAAAAGAUUAUAUUAGAAUUGAAUGAAGCUUUGUUUAUAUAUUGAUAAUGACAGUAUAUAUAUCGUGUCUUGACUAAUUGCGUGCCAGCAGUCGCGGUAAUACGUAAGAGACUAGUGUUAUUCAUCUUAAUUAGGUUUAAAGGGUACCCAGACGGUCAAUAUAGCUUAUAAAAUGUUAGUACUUGACUAGAGUUUUAUGUAAGAGGGCAGUACUUGAGGAGGAGAGAUGAAAUUUCGUGAUACCAAAGGGACUCGGUAAAGGCGAAGGCAGCCCUCUAGGUAAAAACUGACGUUGAAGGACGAAGGCACAGAGAACAAACAGGAUUAGAUACCCAAGUAGUCUUUGCAGUAAAUGAUGAGUGCCAUAGGUUAGAUCUGGGUGGAUAGUCUAGUUGAGUUAGUGUACGUUACCACCGAUGUGGAUCACCCCAACCCCCCCUUAAGUUUGGGUUUUAUAUGGGAAGGGGAGAGGUUGCCCCCCUCAUGUGGUGGGCGCCCAAGGGGGAUCGAGAAACCUUACCGGAGUUGAGAGAGAGAAGUAGGGAAUUUGUUAUUACCCCCG